rnacentral:rRNA from 1 species
GAUGAACGCUGGCGGCGUGCCUAAUACAUGCAAGUCGAGCGAACAGACGAGGAGCUUGCUCCUUCGACGUUAGCGGCGGACGGGUGAGUAACACGUAGGCAACCUACCUAUAAGACUGGGAUAACUUCGGGAAACCGGAGCUAAUACCGGAUAAUAUUUCGAACCGCAUGGUUCGAUAGUGAAAGAUGGCUUUGCUAUCACUUAUAGAUGGGCCUGCGCCGUAUUAGCUAGUUGGUAAGGUAACGGCUUACCAAGGCAACGAUACGUAGCCGACCUGAGAGGGUGAUCGGCCACACUGGAACUGAGACACGGUCCAGACUCCUACGGGAGGCAGCAGUAGGGUAUCUUCCGCAAUGGGCGAAAGCCUGACGGAGCAACGCCGCGUGAGUGAUGAAGGUCUUCGGAUCGUAAAACUCUGUUAUUAGGGAAGAACAAACGUGUAAGUAACUGUGCACGUCUUGACGGUACCUAAUCAGAAAGCCACGGCUAACUACGUGCCAGCCGCCGCAGUAACAC